rnacentral:rRNA from 1 species
GAUGAACGCUGGCUACAGGCUUAACACAUGCAAGUCGAGGGGAAACGACGGGGAAGCUUGCUUCCCCGGGCGUCGACCGGCGCACGGGUGAGUAACGCGUAUCCAACCUGCCUCUGACUGAGGGAUAACCCGUCGAAAGUCGGCCUAAUACCUCAUGGCAUCGUCUGCGGGCAUCCAACGACGAUUAAAGAUUUCAUCGGUCAGGGAUGGGGAUGCGUCUGAUUAGCUAGUUGGCGGGGUAACGGCCCACCAAGGCGACGAUCAGUAGGGGUUCUGAGAGGAAGGUCCCCCACAUUGGAACUGAGACACGGUCCAAACUCCUACGGGAGGCAGCAGUGAGGAAUAUUGAUCAAUGGGCGAGAGCCUGAACCAGCCAAGUAGCGUGCAGGAGGACGGCCCUAUGGGUUGUAAACUGCUUUUAUGCGGGGAUAAAGUGAGGGACGUGUCCUUCAUUGCAGGUACCGCAUGAAUAAGGACCGGCUAAUUCCGUG